rnacentral:rRNA from 1 species
AGAGUUUGAUUAUGGCUCAGGAUGAACGCUGGCGGCGUGCCUAACACAUGCAAGUCGAGCGAUCUUCUCGGAAGAGAGCGGCGGACGGGUGAGUAACGCGUGGGUAACCUGCCCUGUACACACGGAUAACAUACCGAAAGGUAUGCUAAUACGGGAUAACAUACUUUUAUCGCAUGGUAGAAGUAUCAAAGCUCCGGCGGUACAGGAUGGACCCGCGUCUGAUUAGCUAGUUGGUAAGGUAACGGCUUACCAAGGCGACGAUCAGUAGCCGACCUGAGAGGGUGAUCGGCCACAUUGGAACUGAGACACGGUCCAAACUCCUACGGGAGGCAGCAGUGGGGAAUAUUGCACAAUGGGCGAAAGCCUGAUGCAGCCAACGCCGCGUGAGCGAUGAAGGCCUUCGGGUCGUAAAGCUCUGUCCUCAAGGAAGAUAAUGGCGGUACUUGAGGAGGAAGCCCCGGCUAACUACGUGCCAGCAGCUGC